GUCUGAUGGAGCAACGCCGCGUGAGUGAAGAAGGAUUUCGGUUCGUAAAACUCUGUUGCAAGGGAAGAACAAGUAGCGUAGUAACUGGCGCUACCUUGACGGUACCUUGUUAGAAAGCCACGGCUAACUACGUGCCAGCAGCCGCGGUAAUACGUAGGUGGCAAGCGUUGUCCGGAAUUAUUGGGCGUAAAGCGCGCGCAGGUGGUUCCUUAAGUCUGAUGUGAAAGCCCCCGGCUCAACCGGGGAGGGUCAUUGGAAACUGGGGAACUUGAGUGCAGAAGAGGAUAGUGGAAUUCCAAGUGUAGCGGUGAAAUGCGUAGAGAUUUGGAGGAACACCAGUGGCGAAGGCGACUGUCUGGUCUGUAACUGACACUGAGGCGCGAAAGCGUGGGGAGCAAACAGGAUUAGAUACCCUGGUAGUCCACGCCGUAAACGAUGAGUGCUAAGUGUUGGGGGGUUUCCGCCCCUCAGUGCUGCAGCUAACGCAUUAAGCACUCCGCCUGGGGAG
rnacentral:rRNA from 1 species